rnacentral:rRNA from 1 species
UACAGAGGGGGCAAGCGUUAUUCGGAAUUAUUGGGCGUAAAGGGCGCGUAGGCGGCCUGGCAAGUGGAAGGUGAAAUCCCUCGGCUUAACCGAGGAACUGCCCUCCAAACUGCUUGGCUUGAGUCCGGGAGAGGUGAGUGGAAUUCCCAGUGUAGCGGUGAAAGUGCGUAGAUAUUGGGAGGAACACCAGUGGCGAAGGCGGCUCACUGGACCGGAACUGACGCUGACGGCACGAAGGUCAGGGAGCAAACGGG